rnacentral:ncRNA from 1 species
GUGAUGUAUGAAAGGAGAGAAGGUUAGCAUGCCCCUUGAUAAGGAUGGAAGAGGUCCUAGUGACCUUUACAACACGCAUAUGGUUAAGGCAUUGCCACUUACUUCAUGGCAUCUGUGACGGAGU